rnacentral:rRNA from 1 species
GUUGUAUGGUUAAGUGACUAAGCGUACACGGUGGAUGCCUGGGCAGUCAGAGGCGAUGAAGGACGUACUAACUUGCGAUAAGCGCAGAUAAGGCAGUAAGAGCCGUUUGAGUCUGCGAUUUCCGAAUGGGGAAACCCAACUGCAUAAGCAGUUACUGUUAACUGAAUACAUAGGUUAACAGAGCAAACCGGGGGAACUGAAACAUCUAAGUACCCCGAGGAGAAGAAAUCAACCGAGAUUCCGGUAGUAGCGGCGAGCGAACCUGGAUUAGCCCUUAAGCACUCGGUGAAGUAGGUGAACAAGCUGGAAAGCUUGGCGAUACAGGGUGAUAGCCCCGUAACCGACGCUUCAUCGAGCGUGAAAUCGAGUAGGGCGGGACACGUGAUAUCCUGUCUGAAUAUGGGGGGACCAUCCUCCAAGGCUAAAUACUCCUGACUGACCGAUAGUGAACCAGUACCGUGAGGGAAAGGCGAAAAGAACCCCUGUGAGGGGAGUGAAAUAGAACCUGAAACCGUGUACGUACAAGCAGUAGGAGCACCUUCGUGGUGUGACUGCGUACCUUUUGUAUAAUGGGUCAGCGACUUAUAUUCAGUGGCAAGGUUAACCGUAUAGGGGAGCCGUAGCGAAAGCGAGUCUUAACUGGGCGCUCAGUCUCUGGAUAUAGACCCGAAACCGGGUGAUCUAGCCAUGGGCAGGUUGAAGGUUGAGUAACCAUCAACUGGAGGACCGAACCGACUAAUGUUGAAAAAUUAGCGGAUGACUUGUGGCUAGGGGUGAAAGGCCAAUCAAACUCGGAGAUAGCUGGUUCUCCCCGAAAGCUAUUUAGGUAGCGCCUCGGACGAAUACUACUGGGGGUAGAGCACUGUUAAGGCUAGGGGGUCAUCCCGACUUACCAACCCUUUGCAAACUCCGAAUACCAGUAAGUACUAUCCGGGAGACACACCGGCGGGUGCUAACGUCCGUCGUGGAGAGGGAAACAACCCAGACCGCCAGCUAAGGUCCCAAAGUAUUGCUAAGUGGGAAACGAUGUGGGAAGGCUCAGACAGCUAGGAUGUUGGCUUAGAAGCAGCCAUCAUUUAAAGAAAGCGUAAUAGCUCACUAGUCGAGUCGGCCUGCGCGGAAGAUGUAACGGGGCUAAGCAAUACACCGAAGCUGCGGCAAUGUCUUUUAGACAUUGGGUAGGGGAGCGUUCUGUAAGCCGUUGAAGGUGAAUCGUAAGGUUUGCUGGAGGUAUCAGAAGUGCGAAUGCUGACAUGAGUAACGACAAAGGGGGUGAAAAACCUCCUCGCCGGAAGACCAAGGGUUCCUGUCCAACGUUAAUCGGGGCAGGGUGAGUCGACCCCUAAGGUGAGGCCGAAAGGCGUAAUCGAUGGGAAACGGGUUAAUAUUCCCGUACUUCUGACUAUUGCGAUGGGGGGACGGAGANGGCUAGGUGGGCCAGGCGACGGUUGUCCUGGUUCAAGUGCGUAGGCUUGAGAGUUAGGUAAAUCCGGCUCUCUCUAAGGCUGAGACACGACGUCGAGCUACUACGGUAGUGAAGUCAUUGAUGCCAUGCUUCCAGGAAAAGCCUCUAAGCUUCAGAUAGUCAGGAAUCGUACCCCAAACCGACACAGGUGGUCGGGUAGAGAAUACCAAGGCGCUUGAGAGAACUCGGGUGAAGGAACUAGGCAAAAUGGUACCGUAACUUCGGGAGAAGGUACGCUCUUGAUGGUGAAGUCCCUCGCGGAUGGGAGCUGACGAGAGUCGCAGAUACCAGGUGGCUGCAACUGUUUAUUAAAAACACAGCACUGUGCAAAAUCGCAAGAUGACGUAUACGGUGUGACGCCUGCCCCGGUGCCGGAAGGUUAAUUGAUGGGGUUAGCGCAAGCGAAGCUCUUGAUCGAAGCCCCGGUAAACGGCGGCCGUAACUAUAACGGUCCUAAGGUAGCGAAAUUCCUUGUCGGGUAAGUUCCGACCUGCACGAAUGGCGUAAUGAUGGCCACGCUGUCUCCACCCGAGACUCAGUGAAAUUGAAAUCGCUGUGAAGAUGCAGUGUACCCGCGGCUAGACGGAAAGACCCCGUGAACCUUUACUACAGCUUGGCACUGAACAUUGAACCUACAUGUGUAGGAUAGGUGGGAGGCUAUGAAGACGUGACGCCAGUUGCGUUGGAGCCGUCCUUGAAAUACCACCCUUGUAUGUUUGAUGUUCUAACUUAGACCCAUUAUCUGGGUUGAGGACAGUGCCUGGUGGGUAGUUUGACUGGGGCGGUCUCCUCCCAAAGAGUAACGGAGGAGCACGAAGGUGGGCUAAUCACGGUUGGACAUCGUGAGGUUAGUGCAAUGGCAUAAGCCCGCUUAACUGCGAGAAUGACGGUUCGAGCAGGUGCGAAAGCAGGUCAUAGUGAUCCGGUGGUUCUGUAUGGAAGGGCCAUCGCUCAACGGAUAAAAGGUACUCCGGGGAUAACAGGCUGAUACCGCCCAAGAGUUCAUAUCGACGGCGGUGUUUGGCACCUCGAUGUCGGCUCAUCACAUCCUGGGGCUGAAGUCGGUCCCAAGGGUAUGGCUGUUCGCCAUUUAAAGUGGUACGCGAGCUGGGUUUAGAACGUCGUGAGACAGUUCGGUCCCUAUCUGCCGUGGGCGUUGGAAGAUUGAAGGGGGCUGCUCCUAGUACGAGAGGACCGGAGUGGACGAACCUCUGGUGUUCGGGUUGUGUCGCCAGACGCAUUGCCCGGUAGCUAAGUUCGGAAUUGAUAAGCGCUGAAAGCAUCUAAGCGCGAAGCGAGCCCUGAGAUGAGUCUUCCCUGACAGUUUAACUGUCCUAAAGGGUUGUUCGAGACUAGAACGUUGAUAGGCAGGGUGUGUAAGCGUUGUGAGGCGUUGAGCUAACCUGUACUAAUUGCCCGUGAGGCUUAACCAUACAACACCCAAGGGGUUUUGUA